GAAGAAAUGGACAGCCUCUAUAGGAUUGGUUUUUCACUGGAGUAUUCCGGGUGUCGAUGGGAAACAGUUCUGACAACCCUACCCCAAAGAGGAAAGGUGUUUUGAUGCCAAGCAGCCCCCAAAUGACGAAUGUCCAUUAAAAUCAGUUAAAUGUGAAGAUUCAGGUUACCCACAGCUGGGACUGACUUGGGGGAUUUUUACCUUUGGAUCUGAGAGUACAAAUACAUCCAUCAAUAUUCUAUUUCCCAAAGGUA